UACAGAGGGUGCAAGCGUUGUUCGGAAUUAUUGGGCGUAAAGCGCGUGUAGGCGGCUUUGCAAGUCGGGUGUGAAAUCCCUCAGCUCAACUGAGGAAGUGCGCCCGAAACUGCAGAGCUUGAGUGCCGGAGAGGGUGGCGGAAUUCCCCAAGUAGAGGUGAAAUUCGUAGAUAUCAGGAGGAACACCGGUGGUGUAGACGGCUCACUGGACCGUAACUGACGCUGAGACACGAAAGCGUGGGUAGCAAACAGG
rnacentral:rRNA from 1 species